rnacentral:rRNA from 1 species
AGAGUUUGAUCCUGGCUCAGAUUGAACGCUGGCGGAACGCUUUACACAUGCAAGUCGAACGGUAACGCGGAGAGAAGCUUGCUUCUCUCCGGCGACGAGUGGCGAACGGGUGAGUAAUACAUCGGAACGUGUCCGCUCGUGGGGGACAACCAGCCGAAAGGUUGGCUAAUACCGCAUGAGUUCUACGGAAGAAAGAGGGGGACCCGCAAGGGCCUCUCGCGAGCGGAGCGGCCGAUGACUGAUUAGCCGGUUGGUGAGGUAACGGCUCACCAAAGCAACGAUCAGUAGCUGGUCUGAGAGGACGACCAGCCACACUGGGACUGAGACACGGCCCAGACUCCUACGGGAGGCAGCAGUGGGGAAUUUUGGACAAUGGGCGCAAGCCUGAUCCAGCUAUUCCGCGUGUGGGAUGAAGGCCCUCGGGUUGUAAACCACUUUUGUAGAGAACGAAAAGACACCUUCGAAUAAAGGGUGUUGCUGACGGUACUCUAAGAAUAAGCACCGGCUAACUACGUGCCAGCAGCCGCGGUAAUACGUAGGGUGCGAGCGUUAAUCGGAAUUACUGGGCGUAAAGGGUGCGCAGGCGGUUGAGUAAGACAGAUGUGAAAUCCCCGAGCUUAACUCGGGAAUGGCAUAUGUGACUGCUCGACUAGAGUGUGUCAGAGGGAGGUGGAAUUCCACGUGUAGCAGUGAAAUGCGUAGAUAUGUGGAAGAACACCGAUGGCGAAGGCAGCCUCCUGGGACAUAACUGACGCUCAGGCACGAAAGCGUGGGGAGCAAACAGGAUUAGAUACCCUGGUAGUCCACGCC